GCGAACCACACAAAUUUCCUGUUCAAGAAAAUAACAAAUAAUUGUUUAAGGUAAUAAGCUAAAGAGUAGCUUGGUUUUAAAACUAUUUCUCAAUUAGUAAUAAUCUAUUGAACUUUAUAAUGAUGGUACCAAAUAACGUGGUUUACCAACUUAAAUACAGAAGAGAAUAUUAAAAGCAAGUAACUCUUAAGAAAAGAUCUUUACUGAUCCAUUGAUGGAUUUAUCUGAUAGCUUACAUUUCUUACGGAAACAUAAGAAAUGGAGUCCAAAGGUGAUUAAUGACUUUUUUGAAGGUGACAGAUACAACUUGUCAGUGGCAGAGAUGAUACUGAAACCCAAGUCUUCUAAUAUCUACACUAUAUCCUGAUUUCCAAUGCUGUAACCUCCACAAAGGGCUGCUUAUGUUCUUGAACCACUGGGAACUAAAAGCACCCAACACUUCCACCCUACCAUACAUUUAUAUACACAAACAGACAAAUCUACUAAUAAUCCAGUUACUAGGCACUGAAUUUAGAAAUAAAAAGGGCUGGAUGAAGAGACCUUAAAUACAUAUAGACCGUAAAUUUUGUAAAGUAAUUUGGCUUAGGAAUUUUCUUGCUUGCCUCUAGGUUUUGUUUCAGAUAGAAAAGACAGUCCUAAUUUGUUAUUAAUUUGGUAGUGUUCAACAACAAUGUUUUUUUUCAUGAUGGUAUAUGGCCGAAAUGGGAGAGCCAGAUUUGCUGCAAAGCCUAAAACUGAUACAAGCUCCUAAGGAAAACAUGUGAAUGAGCUGAAAUAUGACUCUCUUAUAAAAUGUGUGUCAUCUAAACUGCCCUCUUUUAGAGUAAAAAUCACCAUACAUAUGUUAGUAACAACUAUUACAGAGUGUUUAAAUCUGUUAAAUUGGAACAUACUAUAAAGUGUUGGGCAGUAAUAUAUGUGUGGAUUCAAGAGUGAUUCUCAAAAUGCCCAAGAGUAAUACUUCUCAUUUUUAUUAGUGCUUUAAAGUUUAUUUGUAUUUUAACACUGUAUCAAUUUAAAUUCUAAAAAUCUAUACUGGAACAAAAUAUUCUUUUCAGCUUAAGAUUAUCCAUUUUGGAUCAUUCCAAAGAAAAGCUAGAGACUUCUGAAAAAGAGGCAAAAAAGUAACAUUUAUUCAUUCAAGAUUUAUUUAUCGAAUGACUGUUAAUAUACUAGGUACUAUCACAUCCCGUGGAGGGAAAAACAAUUUCUUCUAAUGAUUAAAUUUUCCUCUGUAGUAAUAUUCUAUAAGUUAAAAAAAGAAAAGAAAAUGUAGAGAGAAAAAGGAAAAGGAGAAAUAUUAUUGUGAUAGAGCCAUUUCGCAGUAUCUUUUCUCCUUUCCUCCUAUUACUAAUAAGAAGCCCUUAACUUUUAGCUGGGCACAUGGCCAUCCAAUAAAGAUUACAUUUCCCAGCCUCCCUAGCAGCUAUGUAUGGAUGGCUAUGUGACUAGGUUCUUUCCAAUGGAAGUUAAUGACUGCAAUUUGCCUUUCAAACAACUAGACAGGUAUUCCUCAUUUACUCCUAUUUGGUAUGUUUGACUGCUGAGGACAACACUCCAAUCAACUUCUGUAUUUUUUGAGUCACUAUAUUUUAGAUUCUCUUUUUUGCAAUAGCUUAGCUGUGCCCUAACUCAAACACUUGUCUGUAAUAGAAGCAAGGCAAAAUUCCAGGGUGAAUUUCAAUACUUACUCUAAAACAUUUCUUCUAAAACAUUAACAGAAGCCACAAAGAGAGCAUCCCAGGAGAGGAAAAAAAAAAAAUGCUGUACUGUUGACAGCCUCAGCAAAUGGCUUUUGUUCAGUUUUGUGAGGUAUAUUACAUAGACUUAAAAUGUGUAUUGCCUCCUUUCCCCAGGAGACUUUGCACCCUUGCAUAAGAAUUCUAAACUGUUUACUUUCUAAACAUUUUCCCAUGCUGGUAUAGUGAAAAAAGUUUUCCUCACCUUGGUUCCUGAUGCUUUUAUUUUUUCCACAUAAUCCCAAACUGUCUGAGGUGAUAUCCUGCCACCUACUUGAAUACUAUCUGGUAGGUCCUAUGGUUAAAAAAAAAAAAAAGAGAUCAAUAUAUAUAGAUUAUCUUUAUUAUGACAUUAGUAAUUCAUACAAAUUUGAUUCUAAGACUAAUUUGAAACAGUAAUAAAAACAAGUAAAUAAAGAGAUUAUGAAAAAUGCAUCGGAAAACAGAAUACAGAGAGCAAUUAGGUUUUACUUGAAAUGCCAACUACAAAUGACUGUUGCCUAAAAUACAGCUACUAAGAAAGAGUCUGAGUUCAUGCCCAAUCUCACUAUGAAAGAUGGGAAAGGGAAGCAAUGGCAAGCAUACCACAUUAACAAUUCAGAAAGAACACAACACAUUUCAGAAUAUUAGCAGAGAUUGUAACCUCCCCUUUUGGUAGCAGUAGGCAGGAAAAUUCCUUAAUAAUUAACAGCUGAAUUUCAAAGGUUACCAAAUGUAAUUACAGAGUGUAUUUUUGCACAAAGGAGAAUAAUAUUGUAAUAAUUCAAGGUUUAUUUUUUUAAAGGCAUAAUCUUUCUGAAAACAGAUGACUACACAUGAAAGCAAUUAAGAAUAUUUAAAACUUUAUUCAGUACAUUCCUAUUUUUUCCACGAAGACUGAGGAAAAUCAUAAAAACAUAAUUGAUAUUAAAUUCAAUUUAGUUUAUUUAAAUUAUUAACUACUUUAAAAUAUUUGAUUUGGGAUUUCAGUCCAAACUAAAAACAAGUACAAAACGGAAGUGAAAAUCUGGAAAGCAACCACAUAAAAACUGUGUCUCGGAGGGGAAAAUAAUAAUCUUGUUUAAAAUCAAAAGGAUUUUGUAGUUAAGGGCUUACCUCUCCGUUUAAAGAAUUAUCUUCACCAUGGACUGACCAAAUAAUAAAUUUCUAAACAGAUUUGCUCAAGAAGAACAUCAUGGAUCUAAUUCAUUUUUCUCUUAUAAAGCUCACAUUUUUAAAAUAUCAAGCAAACUGUAUAUAAAAGUGAUUAGUCUGUUUAUUAAUCGAAAACACACUGCUAGGCUGGGCCCGGUGGCUCACAUCUGUAAUCCCAGUAUUCUGGGAGGCAGAGGCAAGCAGAUCACUUGAGGGCAGUAGUUCAGAACCGGCCUGGCUAACAUGGUGAAGCCCCGUUUCUACUAAAAAUACAAAAAUUAGCCAGGUGUGGUAGCACACAUCUGUUAAUCCCAGCUACAUGGGAGGCUGAGACAGGAGAAUGGUUGAACCCGGGAGGCAGACAUUGCAGCAAGCCAAGAUCACGCCACUGCACUCCAGCCAGGGCGACAGGGCAGACUCUGUCUCAAAACAAAAACAAAAACAAAAACAAAAACAAAAACAAACCCACAACUGCUAACCAAAUAAACUGAUCAAUAUUACAUAAACAGUAUUACAUUGAAUUAAACUAAUUGCAGCCUAAUCCAAAGAAAAGUGAAGUUUAUGUUAGCCUUAAAAAAAAAAAAAAGACAGGCAAAUGAUUUAGGCUUUUUCAAAUAAUAAAAGGAAUUUUUUUACAAUCUUUUAAUUCUUUAAAAUCAGCAGAUAGAGAAUAAAUGAAAAAGGUCAGAUACGAACAAGAUAGCAAAAUAUGAUCUCAACAUAAAUACAGUAUAUAUGUACUGAUUUAUUUUCCUUCUAUACACAUAUAAAAAUACAUUUCCUUCAAAAUAAUUCAAAAAUGUCACUGUCUCAUUUAUCACAAUAUUAUAAUGUUACUGCUGCUUAUUUUCCAUAAAUACCACAUAAUAGUUUCUUUCUAUUUCCCUCAGGUGUAGAACCAACCAAGGGUAUCACUUGCAGCAACUACAGUCACUAGUCUCACUGGUUUUCAACUAGCUGUAAAGCUUCAACUCCCAGUCUACAUAAACCACAUUCACAGAAAUAGGCAGAUCCUUCUGGCUUCUCCAAUGACUUAUUGGCGGCUGGUUCCUAACGCUUGGAGGAAACUGCAGAGCAAAAAACCACCUGCAAGAAAGAAACCUGAAAGAAACCUGAGGGAGGCCGGGUGCCGCAGCUCACGCCUGUAAUGCCAGCACUUUGGGAGGGCAAGUCAGGAGGAUCACAAGGUCAGGAGUUUGGGACCAGCCUGGCCAAAAUGGUGAAACCCCGUCUCUACUAAAAAUACAAAAAUUAGCUGGGCGUGGCGGCGUGUGCCUGUAAUCCCAGCUACUCGGGAGGCUGAGGCAGGACAAUCAUCUGAACCCGGGAGUGGAGGCUGCAGUGAGCUGAGAUGGCGCCACUGCACUCCAACCUGGGCGACAGGGCAAGACUCUGUCUCCAAAAAAAAGAUAAAAAAACCUGAGGGAAAUAAAUCUUUAUUUAAUUGCUGAAGAAAAGCUUCCAGAUUAUGUAAUUCCAGAAGCAUCUGAUCCUCGGGACCAUGAUGGCAGAAUGUACAAUUUUAAGUCUCUGUUAGUGUACUUCAAGAAAAUACCUCAAAUCACCUACUGUAGCAAAUAUCCUUAUACAAAUUUAUAUCAGUUGUGUGAAAACCUUUUAUGCAAAAAGGUUGCAUCUAAUCACAUUCUGUUACCUAGAGUAAUCUAUAGCAAAAAACUGCUGGUGGACCUAGGUAAAUGUCACACACAAGAGAUCAGUCAUGUUCUGAACCUUUAAAAUGUUCGCUGGCAUGAUUUUUGCUUAUUGUACUUAUCAGAGACCUACUUUUGGUGUUGAGAGCUAACACUGACACAUACACGCACACACAUGCACAGCCUUUAGAUUUCCUCUGUCCAAAACAUGAAAUCCCAAGAAAAAAUUAGGGGUUUAAUUAACAUUUACUCUACUGCUAUAAUACUUGGAACUAAAGUUAUAUUUAAGACUAUCUUUAGAACUAAAGUUAUGUAUUUUCUUAAGAAAA
rnacentral:lncRNA from 1 species